AUUGAACGCUGGCGGCAGGCCUAACACAUGAAAGUCGAGCGAGCGGCGGACGGGUGAGUAAUGUCUGGGAAACUGCCUGAUGGGGGGGGAUAACUACUGGAAACGGUAGCUAAUACCGCAUACCAUCAGAUGUGCCCAGAUGGGACUAGCUGGUAGGUGGGGUAACGGCUCACCUAGGCGACGAUCCCUAGCUGGUCUGAGAGGAUGACCAGCCACACUGGAACUGAGACACGGUCCAGACUCCUACGGGAGGCAGCAGGGGGGAAUAUUGCACAAUGGGCGCAGGUCUGAUGCAGCCAUGCGGCGUGUGUGAAGAAGGCCUUCGGGUUGUAAAGCACUUUCAGCGGGGAGGCGUUACCCGCAGAAGAAGCACCGGCUAACUCCGUGCCAGCCGCCGCGGUAAUAC
rnacentral:rRNA from 1 species